UCUAGACAUCAGGAAUAUAGAGAGAAGAGAGAAGUGCCUGGCAACCACCGAGCCUUCCCUCACUCCAGCUGACCCCUGCUGCUGAGGAUCAGGGAUGAGAAAUGUCCCUUGCCCUGCAGUUUCUCACUGUCCAUACCUUCCAAAGAUGACUGUGAAUAGAACCUGAGAAACAGGUUCCAGAGGUCCCAGGGGCUGGACUUCGCUGCCUCCCCAAGUUAACAGAAAAACAAAGGAAGUGCACACAUGGAUUGGGAAAUGACGGAGCUUCAAAAUGUCAUGGGACACCCUUGGGAGAUGAAGCUGGAUAUGGGAACAGUGGCUCUCUGGGAUGUGCCAUUCGCUGCUUGACAGGGAAUCAGGGUUGGUUCCACAGUCAUGUUCUGGAACCAUGUUUGACCACAGUGACUUGAGAAACAGAUGAUGGUGGUUGAGUAGUUGGAGGUGGCUGAAGAGAGGAUGACCAGAGCCAGCUGACGAAGGACUUCUGACAGUGUGACUGUCCUGGAGAACCUUUCAAGGCUACCUGUAUCUCAGAGACCCUUGCCUUUACCCAAACAGGCACUAAGGAGAUUCAAGAAAGUUUCAUAACCCUUUGCCCAGCAUCUGACUGAAAAAGCUCUAAGGAUACCUAAUCUCCAGGUUCUAUGCCUGAUGUCUCCCUUCUGGAUAACUUCCAAGUCUUUUUGUCUUCUGAGGUCACACCCUUAAUUUUCAAAUAAAAUGGCUUUAUCUUU